CCAUAGUGUAGUGGUUAGCACAUCUGCUUUACACUCAGAAGGUCCUGGGUUCGCGCCCCAGUGG
rfam:Pteropus alecto contig97859, whole genome shotgun sequence.